UGGCCGAAUGGUUAUGUUGUCCACUUUGUAAGCGGAAGAUCAUGGGUUCGAUUCCCAU
rnacentral:tRNA from 1 species